rnacentral:rRNA from 1 species
UACGUAGGGUGCGAGCGUUGUCCGGAAUUAUUGGGCGUAAAGAGCUCGUAGGCGGUCUGUCGCGUCGAUCGUGAAAACUUGGGGCUUAACCCUGAGCUUGCGGUCGAUACGGGCAUGACUGGAGUUCGGCAGGGGAGACUGGAAUUCCUGGUGUAGCGGUGAAAUGCGCAGAUAUCAGGAGGAACACCGGUGGCGAAGGCGGGUCUCGUGGGCCGAUACUGACGCUGAGGAGCGAAAGCGUGGGGAGCGAACAGG